UUACUGCUAAAUAACCGAUAUAUAUCACCUCUUUGUUUCCUCAUCAGGCUGAUACAGUUUCAUCUGAAGAAAUAAAAAGAUAUAUCAAACAAGAGGUUCUUAAGGUUUUCGAAGAGAGGAUGGCUCAGUUUGUAUCCCAGCUGAAAUUGCCUGCAGCAAUGCUUGCUUCCCAAGCUCAUGGAAAACCAGGGCCACCAGGAAAAGAUGGUUUACCAGGGCCUCCAGGAAAAGAUGGUUUACCAGGGCCACCAGGAGAACGUGGACUUCAAGGUUAUAGAGGACAGAAAGGGGAAAGAGGUGAGCCUGGAAUUGGACUGCCUGGUAAUCCUGGACCACCUGGCCCUUCAGCUACGGGCCUGCCAGGCCCCCCGGGAACUCCAGGCUCACCCGGACCGCAGGGGCCACCCGGACCUCAUGGAAGAUGCAAUCCAGCAGAUUGCUAUUACCACGUAUCACAGACUCGGUCACGCACCAGUGGGAAAUAAAUCCCUCUCCAAGAGACGGUUGGGUUCACAGCCACUUUUCACUUCUCUCAAUAAGUUAAUUUAA
rnacentral:lncRNA from 1 species